GACGAACGCUGGCGGCGUGCUUAACACAUGCAAGUCGAACGGUAAGGCCCUUCGGGGUACACGAGUGGCGAACGGGUGAGUAACACGUGGGUGAUCUGCCCUGCACUUCGGGAUAAGCCUGGGAAACUGGGUCUAAUACCGGAUAGGACCACUGCCUGCAUGGGUGGUGGUGGAAAGCUUUUGCGGUGUGGGAUGGGCCCGCGGCCUAUCAGCUUGUUGGUGGGGUGAUGGCCUACCAAGGCGACGACGGGUAGCCGGCCUGAGAGGGUGACCGGCCACACUGGGACUGAGAUACGGCUCAGACUCCUACGGGAGGCAGCAGUGGGGAAUAUCGCACAAUGGGCGCAAGCCUGAUGCAGCGACGCCGCGUGAGGGAUGACGGCCUUCGGGUUGUAAACCUCCUUCAGCAUCGACGAAGCGAAAGUGACGGUAGGUGCAGAAGAAGGACCGGCCAACUACGUGCCAGCCGCCGCAGUAA
rnacentral:rRNA from 1 species